UACAGAGGUCUCAAGCGUUGUUCGGAUUUAUUGGGCGUAAAGAGCUCGUAGGCGGUUUGUCGCGUCUGCUGUGAAAAUCCAGGGCUUAACCCUGGACCUGCAGUGGGUACGGGCGGACUAGAGUGCGGUAGGGGGAGAUCGGAAUUCCUGGUGUAGCGGUGAAAUGCGCAGAUAUCAGGAGGAACACCGGUGGCGAAGGCGGAUCUCUGGGCCGUAACUGACGCUGAGGAGCGAAAGCAUGGGGAGCGAACAGG
rnacentral:rRNA from 1 species